rnacentral:rRNA from 1 species
AUUGAACGCUGGCGGCAUGCCUUACACAUGCAAGUCGAACGGUAACAGGUCUUCGGAUGCUGACGAGUGGCGAACGGGUGAGUAAUACAUCGAAACGUGCCUAGUAGUGGGGGAUAACUACUCGAAAGAGUGGCUAAUACCGCAUGAGAUCUACGGAUGAAAGCAGGGGAUCGCAAGACCUUGUGCUACUAGAGCGGCCGAUGGCAGAUUAGGUAGUUGGUGGGAUAAAAGCUACCAAGCCGACGAUCUGUAGCUGGUCUGAGAGGACGAUCAGCCACACUGGGACUGAGACACGGCCCAGACUCCUACGGGAGGCAGCAGUGGGGAAUUUUGGACAAUGGGCGAAAGCCUGAUCCAGCAAUGCCGCGUGCAUGAUGAAGGCCUUCGGGUUGUAAACUGCUUUUGUACGGAACGUAAAGCCCCGGGUUAAUACCCUGGGGUCAUGACGGUACCGUAAGAAUAAGCACCGGCUAACUACGUGCCAGCGGCCGCCGUAA